ensembl:lncRNA
ACACGCACACACACACAUAUCAUAUAUAUAUAUAUAUAUAUAUAUAUAUAUAUAUAUAUAUAUAUAUAUAUAUAUAUAUAUAUAUAUAUAUAUAUACAUUAAUACCAUGUGAUUCCAACUGUAUGUCAUGUAUCAAUGCAAAAAUACCAGCUCAUUUUCCCAGAGGAUGUGACAUUUAUUGAUGGCUUUGAUAUAGCAGGAUAAAGCUGCACUAAAUCAUUUUAAUCAUCAACUUCUCUUUUUCCCCCCUCAAAAUGAUUUUCCUGGCAUAGACUGAAGUUGGUCUAAAUCAAUUACAGACCAGCUUGUACCUGGCUGUGAUUCUUGCACUUGGCAUCAGAAGACACUUGUAAUGCACAACUAAGUUUCUUUACUUGUCAAGAAGUGUUCUCCCAGUUUUGCAAUUUGGAAUGGUGAUGCAUGAAUGAAUUUACACUAGAGGAAGUUUAUCAGGUUUUUUUUUUUUAACAUGUUUAAGUAUUGCUAAGUCAAGCGUGCUUACUAAACUUUGUGAACCACUUGUUUAAAAGCACUAUAGUAAACUUACGGUUUUACUUUGGCAUCGUGUUAUUUUGUCUGUUUCCUGAUCAUGACAUUAUCUUACUUGCAAGAUGUACUAAUCUCUUAAGUGUUUCAAAUAAUUGAAGUCAUUAUGAGAAACCAUUUUGAAUUUUUUGUUUGUUUUUAAAUAUCACUCUUUUUAGAAUAUAAAUUAGUAAACAUUACCCAUAGCAUGCCAAAGUUCAUACUAAAUGAAGUACAAUUGAUGUACUAACAUCCUGUUAGCUUUCCUGUCACACUCAGUCUCUGUUGUUGCCUAUAAAGUGCCUUUCUGUGUUAGACUUAGCCCCAGUCUUGCUGAGUUCACAUAAUUAUGUGUUGUUCAAAAUGACAAUCUGACAUACAGGGCCAGUUUUCCACUUCUGCACUGUCAUUCUUUUUGCUUCAGCAAGGCAUAUCCUGUGUCUAAUAAACCAGCCUGAAGAUAUUUUAUUUUAUAUUUCUGGACUAUUUUCUGAUCAAUAACUGCUCAAAUAAACCAGAUUCCG